GAACCACAACACGUUCCUCGAUGUCGAAGAACUGCUUCUGAAUUGCUGGACGACGGACCUAACAAAAGAUGAUAGUAGAGAUACUAGAUACCUGAGAGUAGGAUGAAUUUAUUAAAACAAGAUGUCGGUAGGACAGAUUUUAAGUGAAAGUGUCAUAGAAGGAAAGAAGAAUGGAGAACUGAGGAGAAGUUGAAAAAGCCCUCCUAAAGAGGAAUUAUGACUACCAAAACCAUAGUAAAAGAAGAUUAUUAUAAAUAAAAUAGAGAACUUCUAAGAAUAAGAAGAGGAUAACUUCUCAAAGGAAGAAGAGAAGAGCUUCUCAGAAUAAGAAGAGGAGAAAUUUCUAGAACAAGAAGAGCAGGACUUCCCAGACCAAGAAGAGGAGAACUUCCCAUUUCAAGGAGAGGAUCUAUGUACAUACUUAAAGACUUCAAUGACUUACUUCAAAUUUGCGGGUCGAAACGGCUGGUUUCACUACAUCCAACUGCUUCUCCAAGAGAGCAUGUUGAGCUUCAAUUUUCGUUAUUGGCACAUGAGAUACAGUGGGCACGUGUUUGACAUAGGGCACAGCAGCUACUGCUGGCACUUGGGCGGCAGCGUAUCCAACAUGCUGAGCCUCGACUCUAGCAGGAAGCCCGUAAAGAUGUGCCUCAGGCUCGACAUUGUUGAUGUAGGUUACACCUGCCGGAUUCAAGUAAGGCAUUCUGAUGGACACAAAACCACUCUGGCCACCCUGCAGCAACGUGGCUGCCACUGUCAUGAAGAUGAUUUCAAACUGCAUCCUAUAGUAACAUUCAAAUUAAAAUUGAUAUUAUACAAAGAACAAGUUGAAUAAUUCAAGAAAAUUCAAUAUUUGGAGAGCAAUUAUAUAAUAUCCUUGCUUGCUUCAAUUUUUUUUGAAAAUAGAUCUAAGACCGACUUCUGCAAGAAGAUAAGCAAUUAACACAUUGUACGUUCCUCAAUAAAAAGAGAAUGCAUCUUAUAGCAGCUGUCAACGUUCACGGAGAUACUCAUUAUGCAAACUAUGGUUUAUUAUCAAUUAGUAGUUUGAUAAAUACAGGAUAAAUACGAAUUAAGGAGCCUUCUUAAAAACUUAUAAUCCUGAAACGAAGUUACCUUGAU